UGAAGAAGGGUUUCGGCUCGUAAAGCUCUGUUGUUAGAGAAGAACGUGCGUGAGAGCAACUGUUCACGCAGUGACGGUAUCUAACCAGAAAGUCACGGCUAACUACGUGCCAGCAGCCGCGGUAAUACGUAGGUGGCAAGCGUUAUCCGGAUUUAUUGGGCGUAAAGCGAGCGCAGGCGGUUUGAUAAGUCUGAUGUGAAAGCCUUUGGCUUAACCAAAGAAGUGCAUCGGAAACUGUCAGACUUGAGUGCAGAAGAGGACAGUGGAACUCCAUGUGUAGCGGUGGAAUGCGUAGAUAUAUGGAAGAACACCAGUGGCGAAGGCGGCUGUCUGGUCUGCAACUGACGCUGAGGCUCGAAAGCAUGGGUAGCGAACAGGAUUAGAUACCCUGGUAGUCCAUGCCGUAAACGAUGAGUGCUAGGUGUUGGAGGGUUUCCGCCCUUCAGUGCCGCAGCUAACGCAUUAAGCACUCCGCCUGGGGAGUACGACCGCAAGGUUGAAACUCAAAGGAAUUGACGGGGGCCCGCACAAGCGGUGGAGCAUGUGGUUUAAUUCGAAGCUACGCGAAGAACCUUACCAGGUCUUGACAUCUUGCGCCAACCCUAGAGAUAGGGCGUUUCCUUCGGGAACGCAAUGACAGGUGGUGCAUGGUCGUCGUCAGCUCGUGUCGUGAGAUGUUGGGUUAAGUCCCGCAACGAGCGCAACCCUUGUUACUAGUUGCCAGCAUUCAGUUGGGCACUCUAGUGAGACUGCCGGUGACAAAC
rnacentral:rRNA from 2 species